AGAACGAACGCUGGCGGCAUGCCUAAUACAUGCAAGUCGAACGAACUCUUCGGAGUUAGUGGCGCACGGGUGCGUAACGCGUGGGAAUCUGCCCCUUGGUUCGGAAUAACAGUUGGAAACGACUGCUAAUACCGGAUGAUGACGAAAGUCCAAAGAUUUAUCGCCAAGGGAUGAGCCCGCGUAGGAUUAGCUAGUUGGUGAGGUAAAGGCUCACCAAGGCAACGAUCCUUAGCUGGUCUGAGAGGAUGAUCAGCCACACUGGGACUGAGACACGGCCCAGACUCCUACGGGAGGCAGCAGUAGGGAAUAUUGGACAAUGGGCGAAAGCCUGAUCCAGCAAUGCCGCGUGAGUGAUGAAGGCCUUAGGUUGUAAAGCUCUUUACCGAGAUGAUAAUGACAGUAUCGGAAGAAUAAGCCCGCUAACUCCGUGCCAGCAGCCGAC
rnacentral:rRNA from 1 species